UACGUAGGGUGCAAGCGUUAAUCGGAAUUACUGGGCGUAAAGCGUGCGCAGGCGGUUGUGCAAGACCGAUGUGAAAUCCCCGGGCUUAACCUGGGAAUGGCAUUGGUGACUGUACGGCUAGAGUGUGUCAGAGGGGGGUAGAGUUCCACGUGUAGCAGUGAAAUGCGUAGAGAUGUGGAGGAAUACCGAUGGCGAAGGCAGCCCCCUGGGAUAACACUGACGCUCAUGCACGAAAGCGUGGGGAGCAAACAGG
rnacentral:rRNA from 1 species